rnacentral:lncRNA from 1 species
UCGCCACUACGGAUUGGCUAAAAUUCAUUGUAGAGCACUUUGCACCCUCAUAUCUGACAUAGAUUUGGUGGGAUCGUGCCGAAGGGAGCUGCAUAAUAGCAAAACACACGUCAAGCUGCGACACAAAUCGUCUUCUUCUCAUGUGCACCGUUGCACGCACAAAUCGUCUUCUUCUCAUGUGCACCGUUGCGCACACAAAUCAUCUUCUUCUCAUGUGCACCGUUGCGCGCAGCACCGGACUCUCCUCUACCUUUUUCUUCUUCUUCUUCUUCCUCUCCUAUCUCAGUUUUCAAUUAAUGGUAACUAUAGCCCUUCUCUCUCUAUCUUCAUCU